GCUCUGGGGCUCGGGGAACGCCCGGACAGGGGCUCUCGAAACCCCUGCCCGAAUCGAUGCUGUGUGACCCGCGCACCGAACCCACCCGCCCCUCUCCUGCGCGGGGUCACUUUAUUAACCUGCUGCACAAGGAAGAAAGGUGGGACGGGCUGGAGAGGGGCAGCUGAAGGAGGCACCGCCCGGUGCUGCCGGCAACACGUGUGCCGAGCGCCACGGUGAUCCCUGGCUGAGCGGAGUGAAUCCAUGUGCUUCCCGUCCCUCUGAGCUCCGGGCAGCGCCAAUCACCAGGGAGAAAAGACUUGGAGAGCAACGCAGCACCUGAGAAGAAAAUAACUUGUGUGUGGAUGUGAAGCUGGAAGCUCUGAUACAGAUGAAAGGAGGAGGUGUGCUGAAUGGAUUCCAGCAAUGAAAUCAGGAGUCUGUGCUGGCUCCUCACUUAGGGGUGUGAAGAAUGUGCUCAGUCAUCUUCCUGCAGGUCUGCUUUUCCAGCUCUGGCACCAUCUGCCAUUCCCUUUUCCCGCUGUUCAGGAGGGAGGAAGGCUUGAUAUGCUUGACUUCUUUUUCCUAAAUGAGGAGACCCAGGGCAGGAGGACUCUUGGUCACCCACAAAUUGGGGGAAGACGUUUUU